AUAUCUCAUAGCUGACUGGCAUGCAUGGGAGGAGAUGGAGGAUUUAUCAACUUUUAACUGUAUCAAGAAAGCAGUUAGCCUUGACAAGAAAUUUGCUGUGAAAAACUUUCUUGUGGGGAAGCUGCCGUUGCCUCCUGCUCCACCUGUUCCCCAAAAAUCCAUCCUUGAAGGAAUUGGUGCAUUCAUUACCGAAGCUUUCUCACAAUAUCCAUCUGCAGUAUGGAGGGCAUCCUCUUGUGUCCACAUUCUUUUACAUAGUCCCAGUUACUUACCUGAAGGAGAAGGUGUCAAGCAAUCUUUGGUGAUUUCCUUGUGUCAGGCAGCAUUUUCUCGUUUUAGAGAGAUACGAAACCAGUUUGUCCCACUAUGGAAUCCUUUGUUGCUUGCAAUAGCGUCGUGUUAUUUGUGUUUCCCUGAUAUUGUAGAGAAGAUUA
rnacentral:misc_RNA from 1 species